UAUUUAUAUACUAGGCAAAAAUCUUAUACUCAGUUAAAAAAACCUACUAUUUUUCUCUAAUUUUAUUAAUUAAAUCGGUUUUUAAAUUUUCAACUAAUUUAGAUUUACUAAAACAAAUUCGUGAUUUAGCGGCAUUUACUCCGUAGCAUUUAUUUAAAUCAUACUAAUUAAUAUGUUUAACAGCAUUACAUGAUAGUUGCUACUAAAUUUAGUAAUGACACAAUAUAUAACAAAAUAGCAGCGCUUAUUGCUAAAUGCCGCGGUAUUUAUUCCCCAGCAUUUAUUUGAAUCAUACUAAUUAAUAAAUUUAACAACAUUACUUGAUAAUUGUCACUAGAUUUAAUAGUUUAGCAAUAAUUUACUAUUAAUGUUGUAAAAUAUGAUAAAUUAGCAACGUAAAUCAGUGAAUGCUAAAUGUAACAAAAUAAUAGCGCUUAUAACGAAAUGUCCUCACUAAUUAAUAUAUAAUUAUUAAUAUAUCCUAUUUUAUACUUAGAAUUAAAAAAAACCUGAAAUUAAAGUUUAAAAUUUUGAAACUUAUAAUUUUAAAAAUUAAACUUAUAAUUUAAAAUAUUAAAACUUAUAUUUAAAUUUUAAUUUUAUUUAAAAUUUAAAAAUAAAUUUAAAACUGAAAAUUUUGAAACAUAAAAUUUGAUGUUUGAAAAUUAAAAAUUUAAAUUUAGUAUCUAAAUAUAGAAUUGAAAAUUAAGAAUUUUCAAAUUUAAAAUUAAAAACUUAUAAUUUUAAAAAUUAAACUAAUAAUUUAAAAUAUUAAAAUUUAAAACUUAUAUUUAAAUUUUAAUUUCUAAAUUUUAAUUUUAUUUAAAAUUUAAAAUUAAAUUUAAAACUGAAAAUUUUGAAACAUAAAAUUUGAUGUUUGAAAAUUAAAAAUUUAAAUUUAGUAUCUAAAUAUAGAAAUUAAAAUUAAAAAUUUUAAAAUUUAAAAUUAAAAACUUAAAAUAUAAUAUAUAAAAAAAUAAAUAUAUUUAACGACUGUCUCUAGCGCAAGUGGUGAAAGGAUUGGUGGUUGAUAUGCGAGUUCCAAGUUUGAAUCCUAAUUGAAUCACAUUUUCAAAUAAGUUUAUUCUAGAAGAAAUAAAUAAAGCGGAUAGCAUGCUAUCUUUUUCUAAAAAAAAUUCAAAUUUAAAUUUAAAAAUAAAAUUAGCAUUUAAUAUUCUUUUUAGCGGCAUGUUCCUAACGACAAUAAUUGAUUUAUAUUGGCAGCAUUCAUUAUAAAUAGUGCUAAUGCUUUUAACAACAUUAGCAUAAGCAAUAUUUAGUGUCAUAUAUUGUUAAAAAUUUUAGCAGCAUUCGUUAAUCUUUUAGCAGCGUAAAUAAAAACCACUAAUGACUAAUCUUCUACUAAUGAUUUAAAUAUAUGAAUCAAAUUAAAAAUUUAAAGUAUAAGUUAAUUUUGAAUUCAUUAUUUAAAUUUAAACAGUUGUUGGUUUGGCAGUACGUAUUUUAAACCAUUCAAUUUUUUUAACAUGAUUUAUUUUUAGUUAAUUAAUUAUCUUAAUUUUUUAUAAUCUAUAUCAGAAUAUCAUUUUAUUUUAAUUAAGAUUUUCCCUGUUAACUAAAAACUUUUUAUUCGCUUUUAUAUAUAAGUAUAAGUUACUAGUGCUUUCGUUUUUUUGGCUCUUAAAUUAAAAAAUUUAAAAUUAAAAUAAUAAUAUUUCUUCUAAAAAAAUAAUAUUAAUUAAAAAUUAAAAAAAUAAUUAAAAAAUUAAAC
rnacentral:lncRNA from 1 species